rnacentral:ncRNA from 1 species
CUAGCUUAUGCUCUGACCCGAGUAGCAUGGGGCACGUGGAAUCCCGUGUGAAGCAGCAAGGACCACCUUGCAAGGCUAAAUACUCCUGGGUGACCGAUAGCGAAGUAGUACCGUGAGGGAAAGGUGAAAAGAACCCCCAGUGGGUAGUGAAAUAGAACGUGAAACCGUGCUGAGCUCCCAAGCAGUGGGAGGGGAAAGUGAUC